rnacentral:rRNA from 1 species
AACGAACGCUGGCGGCAUGCUUAACACAUGCAAGUCGAGCGGCGGCGCGGGGCAACCUGGCGGCGAGCGGCGAACGGGUGAGUAACAUAUCGGAACGUACCCAGUCGUGGGGGAUAACUAUCCGAAAGGAUAGCUAAUACCGCAUACGACCUGAGGGUGAAAGGGGGGGAUCGCAAGACCUCUCGCGAUUGGAGCGGCCGAUAUCGGAUUAGCUAGUUGGUGAGGUAAAGGCUCACCAAGGCGACGAUCCGUAGCUGGUCUGAGAGGACGACCAGCCACACUGGAACUGAGACACGGUCCAGACUCCUACGGGAGGCAGCAGUGGGGAAUUUUGGACAAUGGGCGCAAGCCUGAUCCAGCCAUGCCGCGUGAGUGAAGAAGGCC